ACCUACGGGGGGCAGCAGUUGGGAAUCUUGCGCAAUGGGGGAAACCCUGACGCAGCGACGCCGCGUGCGGGAUGACGGCCUUCGGGUUGUAAACCGCUUUUCCUUGGGACGAUGAUGACGGUACCAGGGGAAGAAGCCCCGGCUAACUCCGUGCCAGCAGCCGCGGUAAGACGGAGGGGGCGAGCGUUGUCCGGAAUUACUGGGCGUAAAGCGCACGUAGGCGGACGUGUACGGCGGUGGUGAAAGCUCCCGGCUCAACUGGGAGAGGCCCGUCGCAACGGCGCGUCUCGAGGGUGGUAGAGGCGGAUGGAAUUCCUGGUGUAGCGGUGAAAUGCGUAGAGAUCAGGAGGAACACCCGUGGCGAAGGCGGUCCGCUGGGCCAUGCCUGACGCUGAGGUGCGAAAGCCAGGGGAGCGAACGGGAUUAGAAACCCCUGUAGUCCG
rnacentral:rRNA from 1 species